ACAGCAGUAGCCGCGGUAAUACGGAGGGGGCUAGCGUUGUUCGGAAGUACUGGGCGUAAAGCGCACGUAGGCGGCUUUGUAAGUCAGAGGUGAAAGCCUGGAGCUCAACUCCAGAAUUGCCUUUGAGACUGCAUCGCUUGAACGUCGGAGAGGUGAGUGGAAUUCCGAGUGUAGAGGUGAAAUUCGUAGAUAUUCGGAAGAACACCAGUGGCGAAGGCGGCUCACUGGACGACUGUUGACGCUGAGGUGCGAAAGCGUGGGGAGCAAACAGGAUUAGAUACCCCGGUAGUCCCUGUCUCUUAUAC
rnacentral:rRNA from 1 species